GCCGAGGUGGUGGAAUUGGUAGACACGCUACCUUGAGGUGGUAGUGCUUAAUAAAGCUUACGGGUUCAAGUCCCGUUCUCGGUACCA
rnacentral:tRNA from 1 species